GACGUAGGGGGCCAGCGUUGCUCGGAAUUACUGGGCGUAAAGGGUUCGUAGGCGGUGCGGUAAGUCGGAAGUGAAAUCUCUGGGCUUAACUCAGAGGCUGCUUUCGAAACUGCCGUGCUAGAGUGCGGGAGAGGCCAGUGGAAUUGCAGGUGUAGCGGUGAAAUGCGUAGAUAUCUGCAGGAACACCCGUGGCGAAGGCGGCUGGCUGGACCGCAACUGACGCUGAGGAACGAAAGCCAGGGGAGCAAACGGG
rnacentral:rRNA from 1 species